GGUGAGUAACACGUGAGUAACCUGCCCUUGACUCUGGGAUAAGCCUGGGAAACUGGGUCUAAUACCGGAUACGACUAUCUGACGCAUGUCAUGGUGGUGGAAAGCUUUUGCGGUUUUGGAUGGACUCGCGGCCUAUCAGCUUGUUGGUGGGGUAAUGGCCUACCAAGGCGACGACGGGUAGCCGGCCUGAGAGGGUGACCGGCCACACUGGGACUGAGACACGGCCCAGACUCCUACGGGAGGCAGCAGUGGGGAAUAUUGCACAAUGGGCGAAAGCCUGAUGCAGCGACGCCGCGUGAGGGAUGACGGCCUUCGGGUUGUAAACCUCUUUCAGUAGGGAAGAAGCGAAAGUGACGGUACCUGCAGAAGAAGCGCCGGCUAACUACGUGCCAGCAGCCGCGGUAAUACGUAGGGCGCAAGCGUUAUCCGGAAUUAUUGGGCGUAAAGAGCUCGUAGGCGGUUUGUCGCGUCUGCUGUGAAAGACCGGGGCUCAACUCCGGUUCUGCAGUGGGUACGGGCAGACUAGAGUGCAGUAGGGGAGACUGGAAUUCCUGGUGUAGCGGUGAAAUGCGCAGAUAUCAGGAGGAACACCGAUGGCGAAGGCAGGUCUCUGGGCUGUAACUGACGCUGAGGAGCGAAAGCAUGGGGAGCGAACAGGAUUAGAUACCCUGGUAGUCCAUGCCGUAAACGUUGGGCACUAGGUGUGGGGGACAUUCCACGUUUUCCGCGCCGUAGCUAACGCAUUAAGUGCCCCGCCUGGGGAGUACGGCCGCAAGGCUAAAACUCAAAGGAAUUGACGGGGGCCCGCACAAGCGGCGGAGCAUGCGGAUUAAUUCGAUGCAACGCGAAGAACCUUACCAAGGCUUGACAUGAACCGGAAAGACCUGGAAACAGGUGCCCCGCUUGCGGUCGGUUUACAGGUGGUGCAUGGUUGUCGUCAGCUCGUGUCGUGAGAUGUUGGGUUAAGUCCCGCAACGAGCGCAACCCUCGUUCUAUGUUGCCAGCGCGUUAUGGCGGGGACUCAUAGGAGACUGCCGGGGUCAACUCGGAGGAAGGUGGGGACGACGUCAAAUCAUCAUGCCCCUUAUGUCUUGGGCUUCACGCAUGCUACAAUGGCCGGUACAAAGGGUUGCGAUACUGUGAGGUGGAGCUAAUCCCAAAAAGCCGGUCUCAGUUCGGAUUGGGGUCUGCAACUCGACCCCAUGAAGUCGGAGUCGCUAGUAAUCGCAGAUCAGCAACGCUGCGGUG
rnacentral:rRNA from 1 species